UACAGAGGGGGCAAGCGUUGUUCGGAAUUACUGGGCGUAAAGGGCGCGUAGGCGGCCUGCUAAGUCGAACGUGAAAUCCCCGGGCUCAACCCGGGAACUGCGUUCGAUACUGGUUGGCUUGAAUCCGGGAGAGGGAUGCGGAAUUCCAGGUGUAGCGGUGAAAUGCGUAGAUAUCUGGAGGAACACCGGUGGCGAAGGCGGCAUCCUGGACCGACAUUGACGCUGAGGAGCGAAAGCUAGGGGAGCAAACAGG
rnacentral:rRNA from 1 species